GAUGAACGCUGGCGGCGUGCUUAACACAUGCAAGUCGCACGAGAAAGGGACUUCGGUCCUGAGUACAGUGGCGCACGGGUGAGUAGCACGUGAAUCAUCUACCUUCGAGUGGGGAAUAACUGAGAGAAAUCUUAGCUAAUACCGCAUAACACUUACGAGUCAAAGCAGCAAUGCGCUUGAAGAGGAGUUCGCGGCAGAUUAGUUAGUUGGUAGGGUAAUGGCCUACCAAGACGAUGAUCUGUAUCCGGCCUGAGAGGGCGCACGGACACACUGGAACU
rnacentral:rRNA from 1 species